CGUUAAAACAUCGGUUCUCGUGAGAUCACCAAAGUUAAGCAACGUCGAGCUUGGCCUGUUCUUAGGUGACCGCUUGCGAAUAUCAGGUGCUGCAAG